rnacentral:rRNA from 1 species
CCUAACUUAGCGGCGGACGGGUGAGUAAUACUUAGGAAUCUGCCUAUUAGUGGGGGACAACAGUUGGAAACGACUGCUAAUACCGCAUACGCCCUACGGGGGAAAGCAGGGGAUCUUCGGACCUUGCGCUAAUAGAUGAGCCUAAGUCAGAUUAGCUAGUUGGUGGGGUAAAGGCCUACCAAGGCGACGAUCUGUAGCGGGUCUGAGAGGAUGAUCCGCCACACUGGGACUGAGACACGGCCCAGACUCCUACGGGAGGCAGCAGUGGGGAAUAUUGGACAAUGGGGGGAACCCUGAUCCAGCAAUGCCGCGUGAGUGAUGAAGGCCUUAGGGUUGUAAAGCUCUUUUACUGGGGAUGAUAACGACAGUACCCAGAGAAUAAGCUCCGGCUAACUCCGUGCCAGCAGCCGCGGUAAUACGGAGGGAGCUAGCGUUGUUCGGAAUUACUGGGCGUAAAGCGCACGUAGGCGGCUUUUUAAGUCAGGGGUGAAAUCCCGGAGCUCAACUCCGGA